UGGCUCAGCGGUUAAGAGCACUGGUUGCUCUUCCAGAAGUUCUGGGUUCAAUUCCCAG
rnacentral:tRNA from 1 species